rnacentral:lncRNA from 1 species
GUAGUCUAUAAUUUAUUGAACUCCAAGAGAGAUAAAUGGGAAGCGAAGGUCCCAUGGAAGGUUGUUGACAAUCGGUAAGAGAUGAUAGCCCACAAAACUCAAAAAUAACUAUUUUUUAAAAUACAGGGUUUUGUAAAUCUUAUUAAGCUUUAAAAAAUUAGCACAAAUGAGUUUGUUUUUAUAUUCACCAAUUAUUUUUUCUAUCGAUUAAUUUCAGGAGAAAAAUUAGUAGGUCGAAGUCCUAUUCAAAAGAAAGGUAAAUAAAUACAUUUCAAUUUGAAAUUGUGCAUAAUGAAAAUGGGAGGAAAAAAAAAUAAACAUUCCUCUGCAUCGAUGAGGAGAAUAGAGAUAAAGAGAACAAAAUUAGCACAAAUGAGUUUGUUCUUAUAUUCACCAUUUAUUUUUUCUAUCGAUUAAGAGGCUAUAAUUUCAGGAAAAAAUUAGUAGGUUGAAGUCCUAUUCAAAAGAAAGAUAAAUAUAUUUCAAUUUGAAAUUGGGCAUAAUGAAAAUGGGAGAAAAAAAAUCUUUACAUUCAUUUGCAUCGAUGAGGAGAAUAGAGAUAAAGAGAACUACAUGCAAUUAGCUGUGCAAACCAUUUAUUUAAUAUUAAACUAAAUUAACAUAGAAAUCUUGAACUGCAUUACAAUAGUUGAGAUUAAGUUACUAAAUCAAAUGUUUUUUUAAUAUUAACAGAGAGAUUAUAUAAUUGACAAAGAAACUAAAGAAGGUGCAUAUACAAAUAUAUAUAUAUAUAUAUUAGUACUGUGUUUGGUGGGCUGGAGGAGCACAAAAAACUGAGACUUUUUGAAAGCAAAGAAACAGAGAGAAGAUACAAUUGGAAGUAAAGUUUGAAAUCUUAC